CCGACUAAUCGAAUAUAAUAUAACAACUUGCGUGCUUUGCAAAAUUUAUAAAUAUUACCCACAACUAUAACAUUAUAUCAAAUUUACUCCAUAAUAUUCAAAAAUGAUAUUUAUAGAAAAUUCAUCUUUAUUCAUAAAAGUUGGGGUCUUACAAUCCAUCUUAGCAUUCAAAACCUUGCAAUUUUCCCAUUUUCCUCAUCUCAGCUCCAAUUCUUCCUGAAAUCAUUAAACACCUUAAUAAGCUCAUAUACACAUGAAACAUGCAAUAAAACUAAACAUAAAGGAAUCAUAAUAAAUAAAUAAUAUGCACUCAUCAUUCAUCUUUAUGAUACGUAGUUUUUUUUGGUAUAUAGUCAACUAUUUCCUUAAGUAAUCUUUUGGAGAUUAAAAUCAUUUUAAAAUCAUUUUCCAAUGGUUUGUUUCUUUGUUGUGGAUGUCUAUGUACACAUGUAUAAUUAAUUAUGCAUAGGUAGGGUCGGUGUUGCAUGGAAGGGAUGAGGUAUGUUUUCCUCUCUUAUGUUUUGGCAAAAGUUAUUUAGUAGUUAUUCAUUUUGGUGUCUUUCUUCAAUUAUUAAAGCUCUUCUACUUUAUUUUUUUUCUUAUUUCUCUAGAUGGGUUGAUAAUGAAACAAGUUGCCUUCUAUGUCGGUGUUUGUUUUGUCUAUAUAUGCACCAAAUUUAUGGGGAUUGUUAUGUGUAGGUUCUUCCAGGGAAGAUGCUAGAUUUUCUUGAUGCUCCUGUUCCUUUCCUUGUGAGUUUUUUUUUUGUCAUUUUCUCUCAAUUUCUCUUUGUUUCCAAGUAAUGCUAAGUUACGCUUACAUUUUGUACUAUUCUUGAAAUAUUAAAACUUUACCACAGACAUGGGAGAUGAAACUAAUUCAUUAGCUAAAGUUUAUAACCCAUGUAUUAGACUUACAUUGUAACUGGCAUCUUACCCAAUGUUCUAAAAGGCGCUAGGCGGGAGGCGGGCGGCCGAGGGGGGCCUGGGCGGGGCCUAGGCGGGAUUUUUUAUUUUAAAGUAAUUUUAAUAUUUUAUUUUACAUUUAUCCAAACAAAAUAAUAAUAUAAAGCAAAACAAUCUAUAAUAAAGAUAAUAAAGGCUUUUUCUUAAAGUUCAAACACAUAUCCAUAUUACUAAUGUCAAAGUUCAAACACAUAUCCAUAUUGCUAAUAUCAAAGUUCAAACACAAAUAUGCAAUUGUUCAAAGUUUAAACAUAUUUUUAACGUAUUAGUUUUAUUUAUAAAUAAGAUUGCUAUUAAAUAAUAAAUUUUAAAAUUUCAAGAAUUUAAUUCAAUAUUAAAACUUAAGAAACUAAACAUAAAUUUAAGAAUUAUAAAAUUGAAUUAAACUAAAUAUUACAAAUGUAAUCUCAUUUAUAAUUUGAAGUUGGUACAAGUUCAAAAAAUUACAACUAUAAUAAAAUUAUCUAUUUUGAUUUGAUAUUGUUCACUUCUUGUUGUGAUUUGAUAUGCUACAACCUGUAUUAUGAAUAUGGUAAUCGUUAGAAAAAUAAAUAUAUCAAGAUUUGGUUUGGGUAGUUAUUAAAAUAAAAAAACUCUCCGCCUAGAACCCGCCUAAUUUUCUAGAGGAAUUUUUUUGUCGCCUUGGGCCUAGGUGAGGCGUCUGGGGGCUUAGAGGCGCCAAGGGGGGCCUAGGCAGACCUAGGCGGGAAUUUUUAGAACAGAGAUCUUACCAGUCAGAUAUUAUUUCACAAACAUUUUACUAGUCCCAGUGGUGAUCUAAUUUUCUAGUAAAGCUUUUGUAAUAUGAAGAAACUCACAUCAGCUAAGUUACACAGUGAUGACAUAUACCAUUGAAAUUACAGUGUUUAAUAUUGACUUGUGUUGUCUCCCAAAUAAGAAUUGGGACUAGUGUUUCAUGUAGCCUGUUUUCCAUAUCAUUCUGCAGGUUGGUAUACAGCAUAAACCGGCUGACAUAAAGAUGAAAAUGUCUAAUCUUGUUCAUGUUCAAGUGGCCAAAGACCAGGUUUGUUAUACUUUAGCAUGUUAAUCGACUGGUUAUUUUGUAUUUGUCUGUAAUGUUCUCUGUAGCUUAAUCUUCUGGAAAUGUUCGCUGUGGUAUCUUAUCCAGUUAUCCUGCUUAUCUUUUACAAUAAUUUUUUUGAAAAAUGACAAGUAUUUAACUUUUAAUAAUAUUUUCACCAUAUUAAAUCUUUUAUAAUAUAAUUUAUACCUGUAUUAAACUAGUUUCUGUAAACUUCGUUUAAUAUAUGGCACCUAAGAAUGAGUAAAAGUCAUGACUCAUGAAAUACAAAUUUAUGUUGCCUAACGAAGCAUAAAACUACCUUGGUUUCUAUUGAGAAACAAUAGAUUAGGAUGGCAAACCUAACAUUGUAUUUGUGCAUCUUAAAUCUUAACGUUGUGUACCUAUUUUUUUGUUUCUUUUUAUUUUUCUUUCAAGGCUGGUUAGAUGUUUAUUGUUUGAUCUUGUUUUUCUUCUAUGCACAUUAUUUAUUGUCCUCUAUCUCGCUCUCUCCUCUCUCUGUCUGUCCCUCUAAUUUGAAUGCUCCAGUGUGUUCAGCCAUGCUAUUAUGUUGGGCAAAUUUGAAGUUACUUUCUCUGAAAUCUUAAAGCUGUAGCUAACGAGUUCAAUAAGGUAAUUCAUGAUUCAAUACUCCCUGCUCGCAAGGGAGAAAGAUUUACCAACUUGUAGCCCAGACCAGGGUUGAUAUUGAUCUGCUUGCUCGUCAAGCUGUCAAAUGUGUUGUCUUCGGCCACAAUGGAGCAUCUUAAGUUCUAAGAUUUCAUACUCAAUUCAACGGAAAUAUCUCAUUGGUCUUUGUUUUGCCGUCAUGAACUUCUUUCUUUAUCCAUAUUCCAUAACCAUAUUAUUCUAGUCGUCAAGGUUAUUGAAUAAGUCAUUAUGUCCUGAACAUGAAAAUAAAUUUUAUGCAUGACUCGACUUGGCAAAACCUUCACUUUGUCAAACAUCAUUGCAAGCUGGAAGAUUAUCAAAGAUAAAUUUUAUGUUUGACUUCAUAAUUUUUUAUCAAAGAUAAAUUUUAUGUUUGACUUCAUAAUUUUUUCACUUGGCAUUAAAUUGAAUCAAAGAAUGUUUAGAACGACCGCUCCAUGAAUAUGAAUCUUCUAUAGUGUUUUGGAAUGCCUGGUCUUUUUGAGCCAAAUAAAGAAUAUACUCCUUUUUUACGUUCUUUCUCUCUAUGCAGGUGACAACGUGCAAGUUACCUACACUUUCUCGAUAUAAAGAGCUUAUUUGUGAACUUGGACCAAUCCAUGCUAGACUGUCGUAUGAAAACACUAUUGCUACAAAGCGUCCAGUAUAUAAGUGCAGUGAAGUGCAGGUAUUUAGAUUAGUUAAUUCUUACUUAUCUCAAUCAAUUUACAUUAGUCAACACUUGUACUUCCGUAUAACUUUAAAUCUAAUGGUGCUUCAGUUUAUAGUUUUGUAUUGAAGUUUUAUUCUCUCUGUCCAUUAGUUUUAUGGUUACAGAGUUGUUUGACUUGUUCAAUCUUUUUGUUUGGGUUGUAAAUUAUCAGAUCUGUUCAACCUUUGUUGUACAAGAUGCUCUAUUUACCUAAGUUAAUUAAGAUGUAUUAAGCUCCCCAAAAAAUUAGGUAUUAGGUUUUUGCUCAUAUACAUACCAUAAACUAAGAGUAGGCUCAAGCUUGUCAGCGAUGCUAGAAGUCUGACCUCAAUAUCAAAGGACUUCAUGUUUUGAACUGUUGGUAUUUGCAUUAGCUGAUAAAUUUUAGCGAGUAUUUUAAAUUUGUCAUAAUAGACACAUUGCUAUGGUGCUUAUCAAACCAAAAAAUAAAUAAAAAAGAGAUGCUUUGCUAUGAUAUUAACUGGAAAACAAUUCUAUCUUUACCUAUAGGCUUAUUUACUAAUUUUCAAUGUUACAUACACUGAUGAGUAGUAUGUCUUUUUUAAUUUUUAAGCAAUCACGACAAUUGAAGUGCAGGCUGAUGCUGCUGCACAAUUUUUGACCGUCAUGAGGCGCUACUUGGAGUCACUUUGUUCAGAAUUGAGGUCUCAUACUAUCACUAGUGUAAAAUCAAACAACGACAGGGUUAGCAAAACUAAUUCAAACUUACAGUCUCUCUCUAUGUACCUUCUAACAUAAAAGGACCCUGGAAACCAGCUAGUUGCGAUUAACUUACUAUGUCUUUCUAUUUCCGCAGGUUUCAUUACUUCUUAAGGAUAGUUUUAUUGAUUCCUUUCCUAGUAGAGACCAAUCAUUUGUUAGGGUAUGUAAGCUCUAUUUUAUUCUCAUUUAAAUGCUGCCCUUAAUAAACAAGAGGACUUGGUACAUCAACUUGAAUAUGUGGUGAAAAUGGGCUAAAGUUCUCUGUUUUUUCCACCUGAAGUUAUUUUCAUGAUCCUAGCACCUCCUUUUUGGCUUUUGCAGCUAUUCGUCGACACACAACUGUUCACAGUUCUGUUACUCUCGUCUUUCAAGUUAUGAGAAUGGGUACCAUUAAGCAUGCAAUGCAAACUCCAAUAAGCAAAACAGAAACCUACAUACAAAAAACAAGGUGGUUUGGUUCCGACAUUUUAAAUCUCAACGCAUUUGGAUCCAUUUCUGGGAACUGGAUGCCGCUGGGAAAAUUGCAAAUACAAGUAUAGCAGUCAUACGUAAUAAUGGUGAUUGCAUGAGAUCUUACCUCAGUAAUUUGUCCGUAAUAAAUGUUAUCAUCCCCCAGACGGAUUUUGAUAUUGCACAGAGAAGAGAGAGAAGAUAUUUUCAAGCUGUGAGCUUGUGUUGGACUAUUGUAAUGUAGAGCCAAAUGUGUAAACAAAA
rnacentral:lncRNA from 1 species